rnacentral:rRNA from 1 species
GAUGAACGCUGGCGGCGUGCCUAAUACAUGCAAGUCGAGCGAAAGGACGGGAACUUGUCGCCCCUGGGUUUGGCGCGGGAGGGGAGAUUAACACGUGGAUAACCUACCUCUACGACUGGGAUAAUUACGGGAAACAGGGUCUAAGACCGGAAGAUUUUUUGAACCUCGAGGUGCAAAAGUUAGAUUCGCUCUUUGUGAGACUAAAAGAUGAACCCGGGCUCGAUUAGUAGGUGGUUAGAGUAACGGCUUACCAAGGCAACGAUGCAUAGCCGCCCUGCGAGGGUGCUCGGCCACACUGGAACUGAGAGACGGUCCAGACUCCUACGGCAGGCAGCAGUCGGGAAUCCUCCCCAAUGGGCGAAAGCCUGAAGGAGCAACGCCGCGUGAGUGACGAAGGUCUUCGGAUCGUAAAACUCUGUUAUUAGGGAAGAACAUAUGUGUCAGUAACCGUGCACAUCUUGACGGUAACUAAUAAGAAAGCCACGGCUAACUUCGUG